UCAUUGGUAGUGCAGACAAACAGAACUGCGGAGCAAGAAAUUAGGCAGAACUACAUUAAGUACAGUAGUGAUAGCAUGAGAUUAUACAUGAAGUUAAGGGUCCACUGUUUAAUGCAUAAGGAGGCAAGUGGUGAGAUUUCAGUUGAAUAAUGAAGAACAAAUAGAACGAGUCAAACCAAAAAAAGAGUCCCAUUAUAUUGGAGAUGGUCCAGACUUUCAGCAUUCGCUUUUCAACCUUGGUGGUCAAAGUCCACUGGUCUCCUAUUAUCUUCACAUGCGUGGAAUCCCUAAUACUUUAGCAAACUCCCGGGGUUACAGGAUCAAUCAUACUGAAAUCUGCAA